GACGAACGCUGGCGGCGUGCCUAAUACAUGCAAGUCGAGCGCAGGAAACUGACGGAACUCUUCGGAGGAAAGGCAGCGGAAUGAGCGGCGGACGGGUGAGUAACACGUAAGGAACCUGCCUCAAGGAUUGGGAUAACUCCGAGAAAUCGGAGCUAAUACCGAAUAGUUCAACGGACCGCAUGGUCCGCUGAUGAAAGGCGCUCCGGCGUCACCUUGAGAUGGCCUUGCGGUGCAUUAGCUAGUUGGUGGGGUAACGGCCCACCAAGGCGACGAUGCAGAGCCGGCCUGGGAGGGGGAUCGGCCACACUGGGACUGAGACACGGCCCAGACUCCUACGGGAGGCAGCAGUAGGGAAUCUUCCACAAUGGACGAAAGUCUGAUGGAGCAACGCCGCGUGAGUGAUGAAGGUUUUCGGAUCGUAAAACUCUGUUGUAAGGGAAGAACACGUACGAGAGGGAAUGCUCGUACCUUGACGGUACCUUACGAGAAAGCCACGGCUAACUACGUGCCAGCAGCCGCCGUAA
rnacentral:rRNA from 1 species